UUCAAUCUGUACCAAAAUUUCAUAAAUUUUUUAAGUAAAAUAUUUCGUCAUUGAUCUGUGUAAAAUAAUAUUAUUUUAUGCGAAUAAUAUUUUUCAAUCUAACAACCGAUAUUUCAUCGAACUCAUUUAGCUGUUUGAACUAUGUCGAAGAUCAAUUAUUUACCAAAUAAUGAUCGAUGUCGUGAUAAGUUUCUUUCGAUAUUACCAGUAAUCAAUACGACGCUUGAAGGUCAUUCGACUUUGCAAAUAAGAUCACGAUCGUACGAAUUUUUUAAAAUAAAUAUGUAAUUUUAUAAAUGAAUGUAAAGAAUGUAACAGAUAAUUAUUAUUUAAUUGAUAUUAUUUUCUUAUUGUAAGAAUGGUAAACAAGUUAAACGGUUUCUCAGUGAGAGAAAUUACAUAUUAUAAAAUAUGAUCUUUAGCCAAGGAGAACUUCUAUCGAUUCUUACGAUACUCAACGUACCGGUUCUUUUAUGUAAAUUGAUAACACUGCUUCUGAAGAAAAAACAUUUCUGUGUUUGGUGCUACAUAUACAGUAGGAUGGCAUAUAUAGAUGCAGGAUUUUAUAUUCACAUUCAAUUUGUACCAGCUGAAACUAUGGUUAAGAAAAUGAAUGUGCGUUAAAUGAUAUUACUCAGGAUUCUAUCGGUUUCUCAUGAGAAACAAAGGCAAAAGAAUAAAGCUAGAUUAUGCACUGACGUAGACACUUUCUUCGACACUAUAAUCUACAUGAACAGGCAUCAACAAGUCAAGAUAGAGUUCCACGAAAUGUUACAUAGUCAGGAAUUUCAACCAUAUACCAAUAUGAGUUAUCAAUAAUUAACAGAAAAAUUCGAUUGGUUCAAUUAUUUUUUAUGCUUCAUGAUACGUAUAUAUUUUCAUUUAGAUCGUUACUCGCUAAUAAUUCCUAAUCGUUAAUCGCUAAAAGAAGUAGCCUUCCCUGAUUUAUAACGUUCAAUUAAAACUGUAAAAUUUGACCUUGGUUUACUACAUCAGCAAACUUUUAUAAUACAAAUUCGUGAUGCAUUACGUGAAAGACUUACUUCUAUGUAUAUGUAAACAAAACGUCUGUAAAAAGCACAUGAAUAAUUUGUAGAACAUUUUUUUUAAAUUGUAAUGUAAGGCACGACCCUGAUGAAAUAUUCUUAUCUUAUCUAAGUUAUUUUUUCUUCACAAAAAAAUUAAAAUUACGAAGCAUACGACAAAAAACUUGUUUGUACAUCGUCAGAUGUACAAACAAGAACGAUAAUUAAAAAAGUACCGAAUGAAAGCUAACUUGUUGAGAAAACUUGACGCACUUCCUCCUUUUAAUUUAAUUGUUAUGAAUAAAUGGUGGUCAUUUCACGGUCGCUGCGUCAGAGGCUUCGUGAAAUGAAAACCAUAAAACAUUGAUGUUAAUUUGUUAAUUCCUUAAUAAGUGCUAGGAAGACAGAAAUGAAACUAUUUUCAAAGAAUUUCGAGAAAACUGAAAUAAAUGAAGCAUGGACCAUUGUUAUCUUCAUCAUAAUCGAGGAACGAAAUCGUCGCUCAUCAGAUUAUUUCAACUAUCGCGUGUCUCGAAAUUGAUCGAGUUUAGAUAUCGUGACCAAUUUAUGAAAACUAAACGCCAGGGUCGACCAAAUGAAAAACUGGAACUUGCACAACGGCUGAUCACUAAUGACCCUUUACAAUAGUCUUUACAAGGUCACAAAAGAAAUUUGCGUUUAAUGUAUCGUACACGCGAAACUUGGGUGUACGAACUGAUGACUAUGUGAAAUUUAAACAGCGUCCUAAUUGUUACAGUUUAUUGAUACAUGACCGAAUGAAAGAUAUUUUCCCCGGGAUCAAUAAAAAAAACUUCUUGAAUUUAUAUGACCUUCUCAUCGAAGCGUUGCCAAAAUGAUGAUUCCUUGCUCGGCGUAAUCACUGAAAAUAUAUUCAUGUAAAUAUUUUAAUGAUUUAAUAUAAAAAAGAAUAUCAUGAUAGUAAUAGAUCAUAUCUAUGUUACGUCAUUCUAGAUUGUUAUAAACGUACCACUCUUUAUUAUUGCAUUAUGUCAAUCAUAUUCAGUCCCCCCAUGUGAGCAAAUAGAUUUUCAUACGCACGCUUAUAUAAUGAUUAGAACAAAGUUUCGUGCAGGGUUCCCAAGUGGGGAAGCCACUGAGUAGCGGAUUUCCUCCAAGCAUGGGGCGAUACUGAUAAUCGACAAUGUGCAAUAGGCGUACAUUGAUGAGCAUAUGACCUUAGAAAGCUAUAUAUUCAAUGGUGAAAAACAAGAGUUACUCUUACAUACAUAAUAUCAAUAUCUACAAAAAACGAAUUUGGCAAAUUUAUCUAAUGUGAAUAAAAGCAUAAUGGUAUAUUUUAAUGCUUAUUUUAAGUAAGUACGUAAAUACAUUACAAUUAUUGCAUUUAGACACCUCCGCAUUUUUUGGAUGUCCGCAUUAAGGUAUAAUCCUUCAUUGAUUGCUUAGAUCGUAGAAGCAUUCUCUUUAAAUACAUUUAAAUAUGCUUGUACAAUAUACAAUAAUGCGAAAAUGUUUCUAUUGUGCAUGUAAAUGCAUUUUGUAUAUUGCUAUUGUUUCCUAAAUUAUUAUAAAUAAUUAUCAUUAAGAUAAUAGAAACUAAAUUUCUUUAUAUAUGUUGGAAAACAUAAACUACAUUUUAAUUUAAUAGACGAUGUAUACAAAGAUGUUUCUGCUAUAUUCCUAAAAAAAAUACAAAACAUAUAAGUAACUUUAAGAGGUAUUUAAAUGUACAAGAUAUUAUACAAUCAUUGUCACAAUCUGAUACAGCCAACUCUUUAACCAAAGUAAUAGGAAAAAAUUUUUACAUAUUUCUAUCGGUUUCUUGAUUCCAUUUUAGAAGAUUUUAUCAGUGUUUAAUAUCUUACUUUGAUUUCUUCUAAUUUUUUUAAGAAGUACUAAAGAGUUUAUUAUUGUAUUAUGAUGUACUAUUAAUUGUAUGCUAUUUUAAUUAUACACUCGUAGACGAGUUCAUAUGAUUUUAAAAUUGUAUAGACAUAAAUGAAGAGUUACUUUUUAAACCUAGAAAAAUUGAUAUAAAAAAAGACACUUUUUAAUAUUUUAAAAAGAAUGUCCUAAAUAAAUUUUCCUGGAAACAUUUAAUUCGCCUAAAUACCAUAAGUUUAAUACAUUUGACAAUUGUAAUAUAAAAGAGAUAUAAGAUUUUUUGUAAUAUUUUUUGUUUUGAAUUUAUAAGAUAAAUAACAAAUCUAUUAAAGAACUUUCUAUCUUUUUCACAGUAUCAGAAACUUUAAUAAUCUGUUUUCAAAGAAUACUUUAUACUAUCUUAUACUAUCUUAUUUUUCACUUGCAUUUUACUAUAUAAAUAAGAAAAUAAAGUUAAUUAAGGAUCAUUGCAUACUACUGACUGUAGAUACAUGUCACAAAUAAAACUGAAUUGUUCAGUUUUGAGCAUAUCUGAUUUUAUUUUAAAGAACAUUCAACUUAUUGUUAAUAUAUAAAAAAAAAAGAACAGAAAAAUUUUAUAAAUACAGAGAUCAAUGAAUAAUUUAUCACUAUUACGUGAACCAUUAAAUGGUAUCGGCACCAUUAAAAUGUGAUGCAAUUCUCACUUUUUUUAAGUUAUAUUGUUGGAAACAUGUAGACUAAUUUCCAAUAAAUCGCGUAUAUUUCUUCUAUUUAAAUGUCUUAAAUUGCAAUGUGCUUAAAAAUAAGCAUAUAUUAAUACAAAAGUCAGUAGUAAAGCCUAUACAAUAGAGUUGGCUGAUUUUAAAUACUACAUAUUAGUAUAAUCUUUUUCUCUUAAAAAUAACUGUAAAAUAUUUUCUUGAUCAAUAAAGAUACCAUUAUUUAUAUUUUUUGAAAU